ACCUAGUACUUCCUUGCUCCAAAAUCAGCUCCCUGUAUACUAGUGCAUAUUUUUAUUUAUUCUUUUUAUUUAUCUUUAUUCUUUUUUUUCCAGCUUUAUAUUAAUUGUUAUCUUUGUUCUAACAGGUCAGUGUUCUGAUUGUAUACAACCAUGUGAAUCAGAAACUACUUCCUGGAGCUCUCCUGAAGCUCCCACAAGAGUUGAAGGCACUUCCAGGAGCUAGGUAGGACUAUUAUACCUCAACUUGCUAUCUCAUCUGGGAACUUCCCUCAACAACUUGGGCCUUCUCUCUAUAGAAGAUCCAGUAACUCCUAUGACCAUCUCACCCUGGAACAUCCCUUUGGUGAAAUCUUCUCAGGCCUUCAUUUUGGAGAGAGACUUGGGUUGGACAGCCUUCAUUAUUCUUCUGGCUCUGCUUCUGAAUUUCUAGGUGCCAUGGCCCAGCUCAGAAUCACUGUCUGGCAUUCUCAGAGAUGACUCAAGCAGGAAGAUGAACCCAAUCAUAGACCUAGCUUGCUAGAAGACGUCUACCAUAAGAAGGAAAAGUACAAAGAAAAAGAAAAAAAGAAAAAGAAAAAUUUGUUCAGUAGCAUCCAAGAGACUUUAUGUUCUGGUAUGGCUUAAUUAUUUCCCUCCCAAGGUAAAGCAUAUUAGUAGUUAUAAUUUAAAUAACUGAAUCUUAUUUUAAGUCUUUUUGUCAAUAUAUACUCCUCCUCGGUUUUUAUUGUUUCUUCUGACUGAAGGAAAUGAGUGUCUGUUCCAUACCUGAGUACUCUUUUACUCUCUCCUCUGGGGAGACCCUGGACUAGGUCAAUACAUAAAAGAUAAGAAAAAUAUCCUAUAAGUUGUUUAGAUGGACAUUUAGCAAAUCAGAGUUUCACAAAAGAAGUCUAAGUCUUCUUUUAUGUGGUCAGGCUCUCUCUAGUGCCGAACUCAGUCUGAGUACAUGUGUGGAUAAACAGAGGCCUCCUAGUAGGAAAGGACUGGGUGCGGUGUCCCAGGCCCUUAUAUAUAGAAAUGAUUUUUAAUGUUAGAUACAUGAUUUUUAAUAUUGGCUCCAGAGAACUAAUAAUAAAACAUGUUUCAUUCCUCUUAGUACAAAAUCAACACAUAAAGCAUGUAGAUUGUAGCCUGGAGUCCUGGAGUUCCAGUCUGGAUCAUGUAUGUGAGGCUCUUCUUAUUGGUGGAGAGGAGCAUGACUUGACUGCAUUCUUUUUUUUUUCC